rnacentral:miRNA from 1 species
GCAGACACAUUCCAGCCAAUCAGCAGCAGACCCUCCCUCCCAAACCCUCCCACUUCCUGGACAGCAUCCAUUUUGAAGCUGCAUUCUUAGUGAGCUGUCCAGGAGGUGGGAGGGUCUGGGAGGGAGGGUCUGCUGCUGAUUGGCUGGAAUGUGUCUG